UACGUAGGGGGCUAGCGUUAUCCGGAAUCACUGGGCGUAGAGGGUGCGUAGGUGGUUUCUUAAGUCAGAGGUGAAAGGCUACGGCUCAACCGUAGUAAGCCUUUGAAACUGGGGAACUUGAGUGCAGGAGAGGAGAGUGGAAUUCCUAGUGUAGCGGUGAAAUGCGUAGAUAUUAGGAGGAACACCAGUUGCGAAGGCGGCUCUCUGGACUGUAACUGACACUGAGGCACGAAAGCGUGGGGAGCAAACAGG
rnacentral:rRNA from 1 species